UAAAUAAUGUUUUAUUGAAAUUUGACAAAAUAGAGUCUGUCUAAAAAGUCAGUUUACAUGGGUAAUUUAAGUAGAAAUUUAAAAACUUAUACUGGUAACCCUGCAGGUGCUGUCAAAAUUGUAAAAUAAAACCUAGCUGUUCUCAAUUUUAUAUAUAUUUUCCUGUUUAAUAUUCGUAUAAAUUGCCAAAACCUUUGAGCAGUAGUGCGAGGGAGAUAAUUUACAAGAUUAUUAAGUUUUGUCAGCGUAAAAAAGCAGAACAAAUAGAUUUGGUGAACAAAAACAAAGUUACAGAAAGAGUAUCCGCCAUGACCGGUGUUUCAAGAGUGUGUUCAAGAGUGACUUUGGCUCGUAUUAAAAAAGAAGCUAGCGUAAAUAACGGAGUAUGGCGCACGCCUGGAAAAGGUCGUGGUUCAAAAAAUGGACGCCCUUUGAAAAUCAAUUUGGAUGACUUUGAUAAAUUCAAUUCAAUUUCUAAUUGCAUUGACUCUGCUUUCUUUUGUUUAUGCAAGUCAAAGUUAAUAAAUGUAUGUACAUUAUGCUCUGAA